rnacentral:tRNA from 1 species
ACUAUUUUGGCAGAAAAGUGCCAUGAAUUUAGAAUUCAUAAAUGUAGGUGAAACCUAUAAAUAGUAC